GAAGAAGAUGAGGAGGAAGACGAAGACUCAACAAUAACAAGAACAAGAACAAGAACAACGAGCUGGGUUACUUGGAACAGUAGCGGAAGAAGAUCAUCGUCGAUAUCCUCUGCCCGAGGUGGUCUGUUUGUCAAGGGAGGAAUCGAAGUUCUAAGAACAACAAAUCUGGGUCGAAAUUUGCUUCUGAUUCUAAAUGUGGAUGUUGAAAGAAAAUGGAAUGUCAAUGCUGUAGGAUACCAUUCCCAUUUUGUUAAACUUCAGGGUUUUAUCCAUUAGAGUUGGGAGAUUGAAGCUAGCUAGAGUUAAGCAAGAGUAUUGCUGGGAGCUUAACUGAUGGAUAGGUCAUGGAUGCAUGCUGAUAGGAGGUCUUAUGAAUAUAAGCUAGGAGUGAAGGAGUUUUGUCAGUUUGCUGUUGAUAAUGCUAGAGACCCUAAUCGCAUUUGUUGUCCUUGCACAAAAUGUGGAAAUGUGAAAGACUUUUCUGCACAAGUGAUAAAGGAUCACUUGUUUAUGAAUGGGAUAGACG